UAGAAUUCAAGAUUUUAAACACCUGUGUUUGAAUAGGCUCGUGGUAGUUAGCUGGUCCUUCCUAAAUACCUUCCUAAGCAGACCUGAAAUAUCUGUAAAGAAAUGACAAAAUACAUUAUGUGCUGGAUGCUGUGAAUCACAUAGCUUUCCUACCUUCCUUACAAUAGAUGGUGUUUCUGGGUAAUUCACACUGCUGAACAUGAGGACUAUGAAAAGCCAGCACAAGGUUAUUGAUUAGAUGAAGACAGUUUUCAUCAGCGCACUUCUGAUAUACUCGUAACAUGAAUUGACAUUGAAUUUUCCUGGUAAUAAAGCAAGUUUAUCCACGUGAGCCUUCAAAUUUUGUCCUUUUGCUUACUUAGGAAAUGUGACAAUUGUUUCUUCUACCCAAGGCCAAUUUCACCUGUCCAGAUAUGAAGGGAAACUCAUCAAGUAUUAGAGACUGUGAUUUUUAAAGCCACUGUGUAGCAGAAGGUGUUAAGGGCCCAGCCACCAUUUGAGUGGUUCUAUCUGAGUGAAAAGCAUACCUGACACCACUUAUUUACCACCAAAAACACAACCACUCUGUGGUUAGAUCUCUUAAGAUCACAUGUGUGUAUUAGCUCCAAAGUGGUAUAGGUGCCAGUAAUUGAAAUUUACACUUUCCUAGUAAAAGUUUUGAUUUUUUUUGCCUUUUUUUUUUUUUUAAUUUUUGUAAUUACCUUUAAUGUCUUGGCGUUUUGCGAAUAGUUUCCAAUUGGUCUAUUGGCAUCUAGGGAUGCCUUUAAUAUAUCUAAUCAAUGUGCAUGCCACACUGCUUCCAAGAACUGCAAAAGUUGUUCCGACUGUUCUCUUUGUUAGAAUUCUUUUUGUCUUUUUUAGUGAAUCCUCAGCUGUUUCUCAGAUUCCCAGAAUCCUACACAAAAAACAUGAAAUGCAGCUGAAGUUACUGUCCCAUACAUACUAAUACCUGAAAACUUUCUCUUCCAGCUGUGAAGAACUGAUGUGUUAAAAAGAUUAUUCACAAGACCUUGCUUUCCUGUAAUAAACCUAAAAAAGGAGACUGAAAUAAGCAUGCUUUCUAAAUACAGUGCUUAAGUCUAGAUAGAAUUUCAGAGCAACAUUUCAUGCCUCUUGUCAACACAUAAGGAUAAAAUGCUGUGUCAGAGACUCAGAAUGGUAGAGACAUGAAAGUAAGAGGCAGCCCAGAAUUUAUUAGUAACAGGGGCACUUCGACUCUAUCUAUGCUAACAAACUCAGUGUGUAAAUGCUGCUAUCCUCCACAACUGGAGGAUUGACUGCCCCCAAACAAACUACUACCUAUGGCCAUUGAAAAGUCCAACUUCUGUAUGGCACCCAUGAAGUCCUUGAGAAAGCAUUGGUUGAUGUGAAUAAUUUUUGUAGGUUAGAGUUUGGAGAGCUGUGACUCUCUUCUCAGUGACAUUCCAGAGACUGUUUAAUUUACUAGCACAGAUUAGUAACCUAUAGGGCUACUCCUCCCAUUUUUAUAUUUGAAACUUAUUCUGCCAUAAAAGAAAUCAAAUGAAAAUUCUUGCUCUGAUCUGCUCCUACUGACCUCACUCCUUCACCAUGAACUUUGCCAGCCAAAUUGAAAUUGGAUGAUAUUAUCAGGCAUCUCUUCAGAAGUUCACUUCCAGAAGUACAGUUUAUCUACUGAAUUCCUUCUACCUUUUAUCUCUUAGUUGCCAUCUCUAACAGUACACCACAUUAGAAUCACAAACAAUUAGCUCCAUUGUAUGCUGUACUUACGCUCUCUAGUGUUUGUUUUCUUCCCAGCUGAAUCCACGUGUUGGUUGAAUGUUGACAUCCACCUUUGACAGACAAAUUCCACCAUCAAUAAAUGGACCCAGCUCAGCAUAUCUGCUACACCUGCACAUAAGUACCAUACCACUGGCAUUCGGAAUGACCUUCUUGUGCACCUUUCUUACCCCAAAUAGAUCAGCUCCAGUGCUAAUGGUUUUUUUAUUUGAGAUUAAUAUUAUUUACCUAUAUCAAAGUUGAUAAUUGAGAUAUUAAACAGUCUGGUAAAACCCUUCCCUGAUUCCUAUCCAUUCUGAACUUUUGAAAACAGAGAACAGUAUUAAGAAAUGUGAAAACAAAUAGCCUUCAAACCUGAAACCUAAUACAUUAAAACCUUUUAAACGUAUAGGAAGAAAUAAAAUAUGAAUUUCAUAACUAUCUUAGUACAUUCACUUACUGAGGCCACUUCUAUGUGAAAUUUUAGGUGGAAUGGGAAAUGCUGAACCAACCAAGAGUAAGGAUCAAUAUUUUAAUUUGCAUAGGACAUUUACAUGUUGGGUGAGAUAAAUGGCUGGAUAUUUCCCUUUUCUUCUUACAGGAACCAACUCAAAGAGGCUGGCGUGUAGACAAUUAGUUUUAGUAUCACAGCAUCAACCUUCUGGAAACCAGGCAGUGGGGAGUCCCUUAUCUCCAGCAAACUCUCCAGUGAAGCCUGCAAGAUGCUUGAACCCUGAAAGGUCCCUUUGGGCUGGGGAAGCAAGGAGAAGGUGAACCGCUCCCCCUGAUGCCUAAAAGAAAACUCAGGGAGAAAAAACUCCGAGACAACCUAGUUUUGAAGGCUGAACUACACUACUGAAGAAAAGACCGACAGCGUGAAGGACCAAGUCUUUCAAGUUUUAUUUUGCCAGUUGUGUAAUCUAACACAGCCAUCGAGGUUUUGGGAAUCCAACACGCUGGUGCGGAGUUCAGUUCUGGUCCACCCUGCCUGUACACAGAACAUUCUUCUAAGAGGUAAGGCAUAAAAAGAUUUUUUUUUUUUUAGGUCACUCCUUAGUCACCGUGGAAGAGUGCACUUGCUUGUCUGCACAUGCUGAAACUGGUCAACCUUCUCUUGG